rnacentral:rRNA from 1 species
GCUAAGAAUAUUCCGCAAUGGGCGAAAGCCUGACGGAGCGACGCCGCGUGGACGAUGAAGGCCUUAUGGGUUGUAAAGUCCUUUUAUUAGGAGAGAUGGGUUAGGUAACCCCUAACUUGACGGUACCUAAUGAAUAAGCCCCGGCAAAUUACGUGCCAGCAGCCGCGGUAAUACGUAAGGGGCAAGCGUUGUUCGGAAUUAUUGGGCGUAAAGGGCGUGUAGGUGGAUCGAUAAGUCGGACGUUAAAGCCUUAGGCUCAACCUGAGGAUCACGUUCGAAACUGUCAAUCUAGAGUUCAGGAUGGGGAGACGGAAUUCCUAGUGUAGGAGUGAAAUCUAUAGAUAUUAGGAAGAACACCGGUGGCGAAGGCGGUCUCCUGGUCUGAAACUGACACUAAAGCGCGAAAGCCAGGGUAGCAAACGGGAUUAGAUACCCCGGUAGUCC